rfam:Sulfobacillus thermosulfidooxidans strain ZBY contig7, whole genome shotgun sequence.
GAUUGGGUCCCGCGCGGACAACACCUGUGAACCCCGUCAGGCCCGGAAGGGAGCAGCGGUAAGCGGGAACGUUGUGGUGCCGCGGAGUCGCCUGAUCGGU